UACGUAGGGGGCAAGCGUUGUCCGGAUUAUUGGGCGUAAAGAGCGUGUAGGCGGCCACACAGGUCUGCUGUGAAAACUCGAGGCUCAACCUCGAGCUGUCGGUGGAAACCGUGUGGCUAGAGUCCGGAAGAGGAGAGUGGAAUUCCCGGUGUAGCGGUGAAAUGCGCAGAUAUCGGGAAGAACACCCGUGCGAAGGCGGCUCUCUGGGACGGUACUGACGCUGAGACGCGAAAGCGUGGGGAGCGAACGAGG
rnacentral:rRNA from 1 species